rnacentral:rRNA from 1 species
UACAUGUGGGGCAAGCGUUGUUCGGAAUUACUGGGCAUAAAGCGUGCGCAGGCGGUUUGUUAAGUCUGCUGUGAAAUCCCCGAGCUCAACUUGGGAAUUGCAGUGGAUACUGGCAGGCUGGAGUAUGGUAGAGGAAGGUGGAAUUCCCGGUGUAGCAGUGAAAUGCGUAGAGAUCGGGAGGAACACCAGUGGCGAAGGCGGCCUUCUGGACCAAUACUGACGCUCAUGCACGAAAGCGUGGGGAGCAAACAGG